rnacentral:lncRNA from 1 species
UCCUCCUUCAUAAGCCUCGAGGCACUGUGUCCAACAGGCUCCUCUCUCUCUCUCCUUCAGCAACACCAUACCAACAGAACUGCGUGGCAAUAAGGAGAGAUUCCUAAACAUGUGCUGCAAGAGCGUCUUCUUUCUACCUCCCGAGUCAGACAUGCCAGAGACAGAAGGAGCGCUCUACGCCAAGGUAUGUGCUGGGUGAGGUACCGGCACCCCCAGUCCUGCUGAGCUGCUGCCUUGCUUCCCCGUGCUGACACAACCAGAGACCAGUGCAGGGCCGGGACCCAGAUUUGCUUUCCCAGCCUCACGCCUUCCCCUUCCCCGACCUGAUCUUGUGCUGCAGGAGGUCUGCACGCAGCGGCUUUUUAGCCCCAAAGCCACCCCUGAACUCCCAAGGGGCUCAGAGCCAGCUCCUGGGGGUGAGGAGGGCCACAGAAAUAAUUCGAUGCUCUUCUGUCCUCCCUGCAGACUAUGGAUGCCUUGGACACCAUGCUGGCGGCCUUCGUACGCAACUGUCCCAACACCAGUGUCAGCAUAGAGUUGGAGAAUAUCUUGGAGGCGCUGCUGGACUUUGCCCUCUCCAAAGACCCAGCUGUGUGUGAGAGAGCUGUGAGAAGGAUUGAGAGGCUGGGUGAUUUCAUCAUCAGUUAUUUUGUGAGCGAGGUAAGGCACAAGGAACCCUCCACACUUUCCUGCAUCCCAGAGCAUCCUGCCACUCAGGGGUGCCUGCGAGGCAAACCUGGAUGCACGUGAGUGCCUCAGAACCGUGAAUCGAGGGUCUUCGUCCCUUCUUCGCCCCUGCUCUUCCCUCCCCAGGCCGUGCUCUCUCAGGGGCUGGCUCUGCCUCCACUAAGCCCUUUGUCUCUCGUCCCUUCCUCACCCAGAACUCAGAUGACUAUGAAAAAUACAAGCACAGCUACAAUGAUUCCAGAGAGCUCUACAUCCCCAUCCUGGGACAGCUGCUGGGCCACCUCUUCAUUUUCUGCAGUGGCGAUGAAUCCAUGAGAAACGCAGCUUUGGAUGUUCUUUAUCGCUUCUUCAAAAUCUUAACGGAAACAAGAGGUAAGAAGUUGUGGUGGGCAGCGUCUGUCCUAUCACAGACAUCUCCUGUUAUGUCUGCUUGUUCUCCUGAGUAUUGUGAAGGAUUGUUUUUGUG